rnacentral:rRNA from 1 species
UACGUAGGGUGCAAGCGUUGUCCGGAAUUAUUGGGCGUAAAGAGCUCGUAGGCGGCUUGUCACGUCGGGGUGUGAAAGCCCCGGGGCUUAACCCCGGGUCUGCAUUCGAUACGGGCAGGCUAGAGUGUGGUAGGGGAGAUCGGAAUUCCUGGUGUAGCGGUGAAAUGCGCAGAUAUCAGGAGGAACACCGGUGGCGAAGGCGGAUCUCUGGGCCAUUACUGACGCUGAGGAGCGAAAGCGUGGGGAGCGAACAGG